rnacentral:rRNA from 1 species
UACGUAGGGUGCGAGCGUUAAUCGGAAUUACUGGGCGUAAAGCGUGCGCAGGCGGUUUUGUAAGCCAGAUGUGAAAGCCCCGGGCUCAACCUGGGAAUGGCAUUUGGGACUGCAAGGCUUGAGUGCGGCAGAGGAGACUGGAAUUCCUGGUGUAGCAGUGAAAUGCGUAGAUAUCAGGAGGAAUACCGAUGGCGAAGGCAGGUCUCUGGGCUGACACUG